UACGAAGGGGGCUAGCGUUGCUCGGAAUCACUGGGCGUAAAGGGUGCGUAGGCGGGUCUUUAAGUCAGGGGUGAAAUCCUGGAGCUCAACUCCAGAACUGCCUUUGAUACUGAGGAUCUUGAGUCCGGGAGAGGUGAGUGGAACUGCGAGUGUAGAGGUGAAAUUCGUAGAUAUUGGGAAGAACACCAGUGGCGAAGGCGGCUAUCUGGACGGUUACUGACGCUAAGACUCGAAAGCGUGGGGAGCAAACAGG
rnacentral:rRNA from 1 species